rnacentral:rRNA from 1 species
GAUGAACGCUGGCGGCGUGCCUAAUACAUGCAAGUCGAGCGAACAGACGAGGAGCUUGCUCCUCUGACGUUAGCGGCGGACGGGUGAGUAACACGUGGAUAACCUACCUAUAAGACUGGGAUAACUUCGGGAAACCGGAGCUAAUACCGGAUAAUAUAUUGAACCGCAUGGUUCAAUAGUGAAAGACGGUUUUGCUGUCACUUAUAAAUGGAUCCGCGCCGCAUUAGCUAGUUGGUAAGGUAACGGCUUACCAAGGCAACGAUGCGUAGCCGACCUGAGAGGGUGAUCGGCCACACUGGACCUGAGACACGGUCCAGACUCCUACGGGAGGCAGCAGUAGGGAAUCUUCCGCAAUGGGCGAAAGCCUGACGGAGCAACGCCGCGUGAGUGAUGAAGGUCUUCGGAUCGUAAAACUCUGUUAUUAGGGAAGAACAAAUGUGUAAGUAACUAUGCACGUCUUGACGGUACCUAAUCAGAAAGCCACGGCUAACUACGUG